UACGUAGGGGGCAAGCGUUGUCCGGAUUUAUUGGGCGUAAAGCGCACGCAGGCGGUCUGUUCAGUUUGGCGUGACAGUUCCUGGCUCAACCGGGAAAGUGCUUCGAAUACUGGCGGACUUGAGGGCUUCAGAGGGACACGGAAUUCCGGGUGGAGUGGUGAAAUGCGUAGAGAUCCGGAGGAACACCAAAGGCGAAGGCAGUGUCCUGGGGAGUACCUGACGCUCAGGUGCGAAAGCCAGGGGAGCGAACGGG
rnacentral:rRNA from 1 species